UACGUAGGGUGCAAGCGUUGUCCGGAAUUAUUGGGCGUAAAGAGCUCGUAGGCGGUCUGUCGCGUCGAAUGUGAAAACCCGGGGCUCAACCCCGGGCCUGCAUUCGAUACGGGCAGACUAGAGUUCGGUAGGGGAGUCUGGAAUUCCUGGUGUAGCGGUGAAAUGCGCAGAUAUCAGGAGGAACACCGGUGGCGAAGGCGGGACUCUGGGCCGAUACUGACGCUCAGGUGCGAAGGCGUGGGGAGCAAACAGG
rnacentral:rRNA from 1 species